UGCCAAAAUUCUGACACAUGUGAACGC
rnacentral:piRNA from 1 species